rnacentral:rRNA from 1 species
GAUGAACGCUGGCGGCGUGCCUAAUACAUGCAAGUCGAGCGAACAGACGAGGAGCUUGCUCCUUUGACGUUAGCGGCGGACGGGUGAGUAACACGUAGGUAACCUACCUAUAAGACUGGGAUAACUUCGGGAGACCGGAGCUAAUACCGGAUAAUAUUUCGAACCGCAUGGUUCGAUAGUGAAAGAUGGCUUUGCUAUCACUUAUAGAUGGACCUGCGCCGUAUUAGCUAGUUGGUAAGGUAACGGCUUACCAAGGCAACGAUACGUAGCCGACCUGAGAGGGUGAUCGGCCACACUGGAACUGAGACACGGUCCAGACUCCUACGGGAGGCAGCAGUAGGGAAUCUUCCGCAAUGGGCGAAAGCCUGACGGAGCAACGCCGCGUGAGUGAUGAAGGUCUUCGGAUCGUAAAACUCUGUUAUUAGGGAAGAACAAACGUGUAAGUAACUGUGCACGUCUUGACGGUACCUAAUCAGAAAGCCACGGCUAACUACGU